rnacentral:rRNA from 1 species
GACGAACGCUGGCGGCGUGCUUAACACAUGCAAGUCGAACGGAAAGGCCCUGCUUUCGUGGCAUGUUCGAGUGGCGAACGGAUGAGUACCAAGUGAGUAACCUGCCCUUGCCUUUGUGAUAACUUGCGGGAACUGGGGCUAAUACCUGCUCGGAGCUCCUGCUGCAUGGUGGGGGUUGGAUAGUUUCGGCGGUUGGGGAUGGACUGGUGGCUGAUCAGCUUGUUGGGGGGGUUGUGGUUUACCAAGGCUUGGACGGGUAGCCGGCCUGAGAGGGUGACCGGCCAAAGUGGGAGUGAGAUACGGCCCAGAGUACUAAGGGAGGCAGCGGUGGGGAAUAUUGCACAAUGGGCGGAAGCCUGAUGCAGGAACGCCGCGUGCGGGAUGACGGCCUUCGGGUUGUAAACCGCUUUCGCCUGUAACGAAGCGUGAGUGACGGUAAUGGAUAAAGAAGCACCGGCUAACUACGUG